rnacentral:rRNA from 1 species
UACGUAGGUGGCGAGCGUUGUCCGGAUUUACUGGGCGUAAAGCGCGCGCAGGCGGUUCGUUAAGUCCGGUGUGAAAGCUCCCGGCUCAACUGGGAGAGGUCAUUGGAUACUGGCGGACUUGAGGGAUGCAGAGGAAGGUGGAAUUCCCGGUGUAGUGGUGAUAUGCGUAGAUAUCGGGAGGAACACCUGUGGCGAAGGCGGCUUUCUGGGCCUUACCUGACGCUGAGACGCGAAAGCGUGGGGAGCGAACCGG